rnacentral:rRNA from 1 species
UACAGAGGUCUCAAGCGUUGUUCGGAUUCAUUGGGCGUAAAGGGCGCGUAGGCGGCGCGGUAAGUCGGGUGUGAAAUCUCGGAGCUUAACUCCGAAACUGCAUUCGAUACUGCCGUGCUUGAGGACUGGAGAGGAGACUGGAAUUUACGGUGUAGCGGUGAAAUGCGUAGAUAUCGGAAGGAAGACCAGUGGCGAAGGCGGGUCUCUGGACAGUGCCUGACGCUGAGGCACGAAGGCCAGGGGAGCAAACGGG